rnacentral:rRNA from 1 species
UACGGGGGGAGCAAGCGUUGUUCGGAUUUACUGGGCGUAAAGGGCGCGUAGGCGGUCGUGACAAGUCACUUGUGAAAUCUCCGGGCUUAACUCGGAACGGUCAAGUGAUACUGUCGGACUAGAGUACAGAAGGGGCAACUGGAAUUCUCGGGUGUAGCGGUGAAAUGCGUAGAUAUCGAGAGGAACACCUGCGGCGAAGGCGGGUUGCUGGGCUGAUACUGACGCUGAGGCGCGAAAAGCCAGGGGGAGCGAACGGGG